rnacentral:rRNA from 1 species
CAGGCUUAACACAUGCAAGUCGAGGGGCAGCAUGGUCUUAGCUUGCUAAGGCCGAUGGCGACCGGCGCACGGGUGAGUAACACGUAUCCAACCUGCCGUCUACUCUUGGACAGCCUUCUGAAAGGAAGAUUAAUACAAGAUGGCAUCAUGAGUCCACAUGUUCACAUGAUUAAAGGUAUUCCGGUAGACGAUGGGGAUGCGUUCCAUUAGAUAGUAGGCGGGGUAACGGCCCACCUAGUCUUCGAUGGAUAGGGGUUCUGAGAGGAAGGUCCCCCACAUUGGAACUGAGACACGGUCCAAACUCCUACGGGAGGCAGCAGUGAGGAAUAUUGGUCAAUGGGCGAGAGCCUGAACCAGCCAAGUAGCGUGAAGGAUGACUGCCCUAUGGGUUGUAAACUUCUUUUAUAAAGGAAUAAAGUCGGGUAUGCAUACCCGUUUGCAUGUACUUUAUGAAUAAGGAUCGGCUAACUCCGUGCCAGCAGCCGCGGUAAUACGGAGGAUCCGAGCGUUAUCCGGAUUUAUUGGGUUUAAAGGGAGCGUAGAUGGAUGUUUAAGUCAGUUGUGAAAGUUUGCGGCUCAACCGUAAAAUUGCAGUUGAUACUGGAUAUCUUGAGUGCAGUUGAGGCAGGCGGAAUUCGUGGUGUAGCGGUGAAAUGCUUAGAUAUCACGAAGAACUCCGAUUGCGAAGGCAGCCUGCUAAGCUGCAACUGACAUUGAGGCUCGAAAGUGUGGGUAUCAAACAGGAUUAGAUACCCUGGUAGUCCACACGGUAAACGAUGAAUACUCGCUGUUUGCGAUAUACAGCAAGCGGCCAAGCGAAAGCGUUAAGUAUUCCACCUGGGGAGUACGCCGGCAACGGUGAAACUCAAAGGAAUUGACGGGGGCCCGCACAAGCGGAGGAACAUGUGGUUUAAUUCGAUGAUACGCGAGGAACCUUACCCGGGCUUAAAUUGCAGAUGAAUUACGGUGAAAGCCGUAAGCCGCAAGGCAUCUGUGAAGGUGCUGCAUGGUUGUCGUCAGCUCGUGCCGUGAGGUGUCGGCUUAAGUGCCAUAACGAGCGCAACCCUUGUUGUCAGUUACUAACAGGUCAUGCUGAGGACUCUGACAAGACUGCCAUCGUAAGAUGUGAGGAAGGUGGGGAUGACGUCAAAUCAGCACGGCCCUUACGUCCGGGGCUACACACGUGUUACAAUGGGGGGUACAGAGGGCCGCUACCACGCGAGUGGAUGCCAAUCCCAAAAACCUCUCUCAGUUCGGACUGGAGUCUGCAACCCGACUCCACGUAGCAGGAUUCGCUAGUAAUCGCGCAUCAGCCACGGCGCGGUGAAUACGUUCCCGGGCCUUGUACACACCGCCCGUCAAGCCAUGGGAGCCGGGGGUACCUGAAGUGCGUAACCGCGAGGAGCGCCCUAGGGUAAAACUGGUGACUGGGGCUAAGUC